AACACAGUUAUCAGAGUAUCACAAGUUGGCCAGAAAACUAAAACUUAUCCCUAAGGGUGCUGAAAAUUCCAAAGGUUAUGACUUUGAAAUUAAGUUUAAUCCUGAAGCUGGAGCCAACUGCCUUGUCAAAUACAGAGCUCAAGUUUAUGUACCACUCAAGGAACUCUUGAACCAAACUGAAGAAGAAAUUAAUAAAGCUCUAAA